GAUGAACGCUAGCGGGAGGCCUAACACAUGCAAGCCGAGCGGUAGAGUCUCUUCGGAGACUUGAGAGCGGCGCACGGGUGCGGAACACGUGUGCAACCUGCCUUUAUCUGGGGGAUAGCCUUUCGAAAGGAAGAUUAAUACCCCAUAAUAUACUGGAUGGCAUCAUCUGGUAUUGAAAACUCCGGCGGAUAGAGAUGGGCACGCGCAAGAUUAGAUAGUUGGUGAGGUAACGGCUCACCAAGUCAGCGAUCUUUAGGGGGCCUGAGAGGGUGAUCCCCCACACUGGUACUGAGACACGGACCAGACUCCUACGGGAGGCAGCAGUGAGGAAUAUUGGACAAUGGGUGAGAGCCUGAUCCAGCCAUCCCGCGUGAAGGACGACGGCCCUAUGGGUUGUAAACUUCUUUUGUAUAGGGAUAAACCUAGAUACGUGUAUCUAGCUGAAGGUACUAUACGAAUAAGCACCGGCUAACUCCGUG
rnacentral:rRNA from 1 species